CACUCAAUUCAAGAAUUUCUUUCUACUAUAUAUAAUUAAGCCUUUUUCUGGUGUUGCUAUUUUCUUGGAUUAUGAAUGUUCCCCUUCAUUCGAUCUGCAAAAACCACACCAAUGCUUCUCAUGCAUGCAUGUGUCUUGGACUCUUGGAUUCAUUCUUAGCUUGGAAUAGAUCAGAUCCAGGAAUUCAGUUAUGGAGAUCAGACAACACCAGGCAGUCCAGAUGAGAUGAUAUGUUUCUCAAGGAUUUAUAUUAAACCCCUGCUUAACACCUUAUGCCAAAACAAAGUCCAAGGCAUCCAGCAGACAUCUCUUUGUAGAACCUGGUUCAAUUUGUUGAGGUGUCUCAUGACUCUCAUCACUUGUAACCUUUAGAGGUGGUGCCACACCUGGACUGCUGACUGACAAGGACCUCAAAAGGAUUAAGCAGGAGAUGACCCUAACAGGAAGGAGCUGCUAAGAUGGGGGAACCGAUUGAACAUUGUAGAAGGAAUUGCUCAGGGGUUACUCUAUCUACACAAAUAUUUGAGGUUGACGGUUAUCCAUAGAGAUUUAAAAAGCGGCAACAUCUUAUUGGGUAAGUAGGAAGAUAGACUUGGUUUAUGGUGGUGGAAGUAUAAGUUUGAUGGGUUUGAUUUCCAAAAGAGUCUAUGAUAGAGGAUGUCAUGUUCUUGGGGUGAUUGCUAAAG